rnacentral:rRNA from 1 species
AUUGAACGCUGGCGGCAGGCUUAACACAUGCAAGUCGAACGAGUGGCGGACGGGUGAGUAAUGCUUGGGAAUCUAGCUUAUGGAGGGGGAUAACUACGGGAAACUGUAGCUAAUACCGCGUACCAUAGGAUGAGCCCAAGUGGGAUUAGGUAGUUGGUGAGGUAAAGGCUCACCAAGCCGCCGAUCUCUAGCUGGUCUGAGAGGAUGCCCCGCCACACUGGGACUGGGAAACGGCCCCUACCCCCACGGGUGGCCACAGUUGUGAAUAUUGCCCCAUUGGGGCAACCUGACGCAGCCAUGCCGCGUGAAUGAAGAAGGCCUUCGGGUUGUAAAUUUCUUUCGGUAGCGAGGCGUUAACUACAGAAGAAGCACCGGCUAACUCCGUGCCAGCAGCCGCGGUAUAC